UUUUCCUGUUGUAAACGUUAAGUUGAUUAGAGAAUCAAAGGUGAAUGAGAAAAUGAAGAAGAAGGAAGAAGAAGACUAUACGCCAUGAUAUUUUCAAGCUAAUGAGGAGCUGGUCGAUAGCAGGGGGGUCAUAUUUUGAGAAACUAAAACAAUAUAAGAUCUGACGUAGCUACAUAAUAGCUGAACUUUUGGUUAUGGCGCUUUGCUGAGAGGCGUUAUAUGGAGAGCCUCCUUUUUGAUGUUACAUACAAUCAACAAUGUGCUUUAUUUAGUAGAAUGCUUAUAAUGGUGAGCUUGUGGGUUGUAAGUACCGAUUAGAUACAUAUAUAUAGUUACUUUGAACUUCUAUCAUCAGCAGGUUUAUAAAUGAUUUGAGAUAAACUAUGUAAUAUGAAGUGCCAGGCUUGACUCGUGCAUGAGACUUGUCUUGUGCAUGGGUCGUUGCUAUCAUGUAACCUGU